GACGAACGCUGGCGGCGUGCUUAACACAUGCAAGUCGAACGGAAAGGCCCUGCUUUUGUGGGGUGCUCGAGUGGCGAACGGGUGAGUAACACGUGAGUAACCUGCCCUUGACUUUGGGAUAACUUCAGGAAACUGGGGCUAAUACCGGAUAGGAGCUCCUGCUGCAUGGUGGGGGUUGGAAAGUUUCGGCGGUUGGGGAUGGACUCGCGGCUUAUCAGCUUGUUGGUGGGGUAGUGGCUUACCAAGGCUUUGACGGGUAGCCGGCCUGAGAGGGUGACCGGCAACAUGGGAAUGAGAUAAGGCCCAGACCCCCACGGGGGGGCGGCGGGGGGAAUAUUGCCACAUGGGGGGAAGGCCGAUGGCGGAACCCCGGGGGGGGGAUGGAGGGCCUUCGGGUUGAAACCGCUUUCGCCUGUGACGAAGCGUGAGUGACGGUAAUGGGUAAAGAAGCACCGGCUAACUACGUG
rnacentral:rRNA from 1 species